rnacentral:rRNA from 1 species
UACGGGGGGGGGCAAGCGUUGUUCGGAAUUACUGGGCGUAAAGGGCUCGUAGGCGGCCAACUAAGUCGGACGUGAAAUCCCUCGGCUUAACCGGGGAACUGCUUCCGAUACUGGAUGGCUAGAGUGUGGGAGAGGGAUGCGGAAUUCCAGGUGUAGCGGUGAAAUGCGUAGAUAUCUGGAGGAACACCGGUGGCGAAGGCGGCAUCCUGGACCACGCUGACGCUGAGUGAGCGAAAGCCAGGGGAGCAAACGGG